rnacentral:rRNA from 1 species
GAAACAGUGGCUAAGACUGGAUAGGAAGAUAAAAGGCAUCUUUUAUCUUUUAAAAGACCUAGUAAUAGGUAUGCUUUAGGAGGGGCUUGCGCCAUAUUAGUUAGUUGGUAGGGUAAUGGCCUACCAAGACGAUGAUGUGUAGCUGGACUGAGAGGUUGAACAGCCACAUUGGGACUGAGACACGGCCCAAACUCCUACGGGAGGCAGCAGUAGGGAAUUUUCGGCAAUGGAGGAAACUCUGACCGAGCAACGCCGCGUGAAUGACGAAGUACUUCGGUAUGUAAAGUUCUUUUAUCAAGGAAGAAAAGCAAAUGGCGAACCAUUUGUUUGCCGGUACUUGAUGAAUAAGCCCCGGCUAAUUAUGUGCCAGCAGCCGCGGUAAGACAUAAGGGGCAAGUGUUAUCCGGAAUUAUUGGGCGUAAAGGGUGCGUAGGCGGUCUAGUAAGUCAGUGGUGUAAUGGCAACGCUUAACGUUGUCCGGCUAUUGAAACUGCUAAACUUGAGUUAGAUAGAGGCGAGUGGAAUUCCAUGUGUAGCGGUAAAAUGCGUAAAUAUAUGGAGGAACACCAGAGGCGUAGGCGGCUCGCUGGGUCUUAACUGACGCUGAGGCACGAAAGCGUGGGGAGCAAACAGGAUUAGAUACCCUGGUAGUCCACGCCGUAAACAAUGAGUACUAAGUGUCGCGAUAAAUCGGUACUGAAGUUAACACAUUAAGUACUCCGCUUGAGUAGUACGUACGCAAGUAUGAAACUUAAAGGAAUUGACGGGACUCCGCACAAGCGGUGGAUCAUGUUGUUUAAUUCGAAGAUACCCGAAAAACCUUACCAGGUCUUGACAUGUUUUUGCGAAACGGUAGUAAUAUCGUAGAGGUUAUCAGAAACACAGGUGGUGCAUGGUUGUCGUCAGCUCGUGUCGUGAGAUGUUAGGUUAAGUCCUAAAACGAGCGAAACCCUUAUCGUUAGUUGCCAGCACGUUAUGGUGGGGACUUUAACGAGACUGCCAGUGAUAAACUGGAGGAAGGUGAGGAUCACGUCAAAUCAGCAUGCCCCUUAUGACCUGGGCUACAAACGUGAUACAAUGGCUGUUACAAAGGGUAGCUGAAACGUAAGUUCUUGGCCAAUCCCCAAAAACAGUCUCAGUCCGGAUUGAAGUCUGCAACUCGACUUCAUGAAGUUGGAAUCGCUAGUAAUCGCGAAUCAGCAUGUCGCGGUGAAUACGUUCUCGGGGUUUGUACACACCGCCCGUCA